rnacentral:rRNA from 1 species
UACAGAGGGGGCAAGCGUUGUUCGGAAUUACUGGGCGUAAAGGGCGCGUAGGCGGCCUGUUAAGUCGAACGUGAAAUCCCCGGGCUCAACCCAGGAACUGCGUCCGAUACUGGCAGGCUUGAAUCCGGGAGAGGGAUGUGGAAUUCCAGGUGUAGCGGUGAAAUGCGUAGAUAUCCGGAAGAACACCGGUGGCGAAGGCGGGUCUCUGGGCCGUAACUGACGCUGAGGAGCGAAAGCGUGGGGAGCGAACAGG